UUACAUACGCUUCAGGUUACAUACGCUUCAGGUUACAGAUUCCGCUAAGCCAGAAAUAGUACCUCGGGUUAAGAACUUUGCUUCAGGAUGAGAACACAAAUCGUGCGGCGGUGGCGUGGCAGCAGCAGGAGGCCCCUUUAGCUAAAGUGGUGCUUCAGGUUAAGAACGGACCUCUGGAACAAAUUAAGUACGGUACGUAACCAGAGAUGCCACUGUAUUUGUUUAAAUAUAGGCUAAUUUAAAUGGAGGUACGAAAUUUUAGGACAGCUUCUGAAAAGUUAACUUGCUGCCAAGGAUUUGUUUUGCUGCCCAGGCUGAAGAUUUUGGGGUGGGUUUUCAUACCCGUACUGUGGUUUUCAGCACAUCCAGCUGUGCCCUAUGCCCACACUGGUGCUCCUUAACAUCUGGGGUGGCAAGAAUACAAACAGCAAGCAGGAAAACAUUGUUAAUUUUCUUUUAAUGGCUGCUAGAAUUUUUGUUGCUUCACCGGAAGUAAUUAAAGGGAGCUUUUCUGGGGGUCUGCUUAUAGUCCCGAUUUCUGGAGUUUCUGGAAAAAUUGGCCCAAGAGGAGCAGAUAAAAAAGGACAUAUUCAAUUCCACUUGGCAAGCUUUUAUUAAACACACAGCAAAACAAGGUGCUAUCCAUGCAAUCUCAGGGUGUUUCCAUCCUGCCGCUGUUUUGGGGUGGGAUUCAAUCACAUACCAAGAAAUUCAGGUUGCACAAUUACAAUUGAUGGGAAAGACUUGCACAGAGGUUUUCUGAUAAGAGAUGGGGAAAUGUGCUAGAAAGUAACACUUGCCUUGAUGCAUCUAACAUCCCUGCAAACAAAAUGGAAUGAAUGUGCAUUAAAUAGCCAUGUCAGCUAAUCGCUUCAAAGAAAUCGUGAUGAAAGCUCAGUGAACAGGUCACCUGGAAGUUGACCCCAGAAAGAUGCUCUCGUAUGGAGUGGUGGGGUCCUUUGUUGGCUAUUUUGCUUUGUAAAAAGUAAAGAGCUGUGGGGCUUGGUCUAAAAGACCUGGGACUUGCCUUCCCCUCUCCCCACCUCUGCCAGGCCACCCACUAAUAACAUCCCUGCUAAUUCGCUCAGCCAGCUCUUGCCAGUUUCUUCUGGGGCAUCUGGAGUAACUGGAAAUGGGACCCUUGGCCAGCAACCACCAAACUACCUGAAAUGACAACUCAUUCACCUCAGGUUCCACCCACAUAAAGACAGCUGGCUGAUCCUUGCCUAGCACCAUAAAACAAAGCCAAUGAGAUUUAUGUAUCAGCAACAAGGCAGGAAUACAAACACAUCCCUUGAAAUGGGAGGGAAACUACUAUGGGUGGAUACAGUAUCUGCUGGCACAGCCUCACAGCUGUGCGCUCUUAAAGAGACAUUGCGCUGUCAGCCAGUUACUGCCAGAUCAAUAGUUACAGCUCUGCCUUGGUUCUGAGCCUCCCUGAGAGAUGAGCACCACUCGUGUGGAGGGCAUCCUUUGCAAAGAGAACACUAUUCUAGAGCUAUUAAGAGCCGUUGCAGAUGAUCUUUCGCUUGUCUGUGCAAUUACUUAGCAGUUAUGUUACUUGUUUGCUCUAGGGGGAUCCCAGAUGCGAGGGAUUGCUUCUGUGGCAAGCUUGUCGUAUUCUCCCAGCACUCAAAUCAAGAACAUAUUGGUGGGCACGGCUGUGUGAUUUUGCUUCUCUACCUAGCUAAUGUGUCUGUCUGCAGUUGGGAAUGCUGCAUGGAUUGUGGCUGCUUAAAGGAUGGUCCCCUAUUGGAUGGUUUUCAUCGUGACAUCACUGGCAGAGUGCUGUACUUUGAACUUGGAGACCAGGUUUCGAUGUCCAGGUUGCUAUAUUUGUAUGUUUUCCCAUGCCCUCCUAUGAAAAUGCUUACGAGGUCACUGCUAUUGAACCCAUUUUAUAGAAGGGAAGAGUGAGGCUGAAAAUAGCAACCUGGACAUCAAAACCUGGUCUCCAAGUUCAAAGUACAGCACUCUGCCAGUUCCCAAAGCCAUGCCAGUCCUGCUCGCAUCUGCUUGUUUCCUGAGGUCAAAUGUAGGCACCCAAAGCUUUCCAGGGCAUGAUAAAUGAGCCCUCAGGUGUAACAUUCCCUCUGCCACAAGGUUGCCUGCUCAGCAUUUGGCGCCUAGAAUUCCCUAAAGCUGAGCUCGGAGGACGAGUCUUCAAAAUCCCAAGAGACGGUGCUUAACCUACAAGAUGUGCUAUUAUUUUUAUGUAAUAUCAUGACAUUGCAUUUUCCUGUCUCGGCUGAGACCCAUGGUUCUCUGAGCAAGAGGUGGGCCUUGCUAGGAAAAUAUGGGGCACCUUCCUGGGAGGUAUAUUGUUCUUCCCUAAUGAGAGUUGGAAUGUCAGUCAAGUACUGCCAAUUGCCUGCUUGUCAAACAUUCUACCAAACCAAUAUCUCUGUUGCGUAAACAGUAACCUUUUUAUUCUGUCAUCAUGAUAUUAUCUAGCAGCAAAGGCAGGCUUAGAAGUGCCUGGCCCAUGUCAGACCUGCAGGAAGCAAUAUGUGUACAGUAGACACUUCAAUUAAGUAAAGGUAAAGGGACCCCUGACCAUUAGGUAGGAGUACAGGAUCAGGUUUAAGGUGCUGGUUUUAACCUCGUACCUACGGGACCGCCUCUCCUGGUAUGUCCCACAGAGGAACUUACGGUCUGCAAAUAAAAACAUCUUGAAGGUCCCAGGCCUUAGAGAGGUUAGGCUGGCCUCAACUAGAGCCAGGGCUUUCUCGGCUGCGGCUCCAAUCUGGUGGAACGCUCUGUCACAAGAGACUAGGGCCCUGCAGGACCUGACAUCUUUCCGCAGGGCCUGCAAGACAGAGCUGUUCCACCAGGCCUUUGGUGAGGGCGCAGCCUGACUCCCUCCUCUGGCAACCUGCCCAGAAUUUUGCUUAACGGUUGCCAUCAAUUUGAUUUUAAUUGAUUUGAUUUUAAUUAAUUUUUAGAAUGAAAUGUUUUUAGAAUGUUGGAUUAUUUGAUUGUUGUUAGCCGCCCUGAGCCCGGCUUCGGCUGGGGAGGGCGGGAUAUAAAUAAAAUUUAUUAUUUAUUAUUAUUAUUAGGUCCAGUCGUGACCGACUCUGGGGUUGCGGCGCUCAUCUCGCUUUAUUGGCCGACGGAGCCGGCGUACAGCUUCCAGGUCCUGUGGCCAGCAUGACUAAGCCGCAUCUGGCGAACCAGAGCAGUGCAUGGAAACGCCGUUUACCUUCCCGCCAGAGCGGUACCUAUUUAUCUACUUGCACUUUGACGUGCUUUCUAACUGCUAGGUUGGCAGGAGCAGGG